UACGAAGGGGGCUAGCGUUGUUCGGAAUUACUGGGCGUAAAGCGCGCGUAGGCGGUUUUUGCAAGCCAGAGGUGAAAUGCCUGAGCUCAACUCAGGAAUGGCCUUUGGGACUGCGAGGCUUUGAGGACUGGAGAGGUGAGUGGAAUUCCCAGUGUAGAGGUGAAAUUCGUAGAUAUUGGGAAGAACACCGGUGGCGAAGGCGGCUCACUGGCCAGUUUCUGACGCUGCAGCGCGAAAGCGUGGGGAUCAAACAGG
rnacentral:rRNA from 1 species